UACAGAGGUCUCAAGCGUUGUUCGGAUUCAUUGGGCGUAAAGGGUGCGUAGGCGGGUUGGUAAGUCAGUGGUGAAAUCUUCAAGCUUAACUUGGAAACUGCCGUUGAUACUAUCAAUCUUGAAUGUUGUGGAGGUAAGCGGAAUAUGUCAUGUAGCGGUGAAAUGCUUAGAUAUGACAUAGAACACCGAUAGCGAAGGCAGCUUGCUACACAAUAAUUGACGCUGAGGCACGAAAGCGUGGGGAUCAAACAGG
rnacentral:rRNA from 1 species